UACAGAGGGUGCGAGCGUUGUUCGGAAUUAUUGGGCGUAAAGGGCGCGUAGGCGGCGCCACAAGUCACUUGUGAAAACUCUGGGCUCAACUCAGAGCCUGCAAGCGAAACUGUGGUGCUGGAGUAUGGGAGAGGUGCGUGGAAUUCCCGGUGUAGCGGUGAAAUGCGUAGAUAUCGGGAGGAACGCCGGUGGCGAAAGCGGGCCGCUGGACCUCUACUGACGCUGAGGCGCGAAAGCCAGGGGAGCAAACGGG
rnacentral:rRNA from 1 species